rnacentral:snRNA from 1 species
AUACUUACCUGGCAGGGGAGACACCAUGAUCACGUAGGUGGUUUUCCCAGGGUGAGGCUCAGCCAUUGCACUCCGGCUGUGCUGACCCCUGCGAUUUCCCCAAAUGCGGGAAACUCGACUGCAUAAUUUGUGGUAGUGGGGGACUGCGUUCGCGCUCUCCCCUG